rnacentral:tRNA from 1 species
UCUUUCGUGGUGUAACGGUAGCACACUUGGCGCGUAUUCGAGAGAUCCAAGUUCGAGUCCUGGUGAGGGUA